rnacentral:rRNA from 1 species
GUAGGGAAUCUUCCGCAAUGGACGCAAGUCUGACGGAGCGACGCCGCGUGAGCGAGGAAGGCCUUCGGGUCGUAAAGCUCUGUUGUCGGAGACGAACAAACGCCAUAGGAAAUGAUGGCGUCCUGACGGUAUCCGACGAGAAAGCCCCGGCUAACUACGUGCCAGCAGCCGCGGUAAUACGUAGGGGGCGAGCGUUGUCCGGAAUUAUUGGGCGUAAAGCGCGCGCAGGCGGCCCUUUAAGUCUGAUGUGAAAGCCCGCGGCUCAACCGCGGAUGGGCAUUGGAAACUGGAGGGCUUGAGUGCAGGAGAGGAGAGUGGAAUUCCACGUGUAGCGGUGAAAUGCGUAGAGAUGUGGAGGAACACCAGUGGCGAAAGCGGCUCUCUGGCCUGCAACUGACGCUGAGGCGCGAAAGCGUGGGGAGCAAACAGGAUUAGAUACCCUUGUAGUCC